rfam:Xenorhabdus khoisanae strain MCB contig058, whole genome shotgun sequence.
UCAACUCGCUAUCGUUUCUUACGGUAAAGAAAAACCAGCUGUACUUGGCCAUGACGAAGCAGCAUACGCGAAAAACCGUCGUGCUGUAGUCGUAUACUAAGAGUAAUGCAUGAACAGUAACUUCAGACGUUAUGUGUUG